rnacentral:lncRNA from 1 species
GUACUAUAUUUGUAAUGCCUUAUAAUUGCAUUAUAAGAUAUUUUGAAUGUGUUCAUAAGGUCUUAAAGGGAGUUUGUUAGAUUAAUUAUACAUAUUCAAUAAGUACUGAUUUCAAUUUUGUGUAUGUUAUGAAUAGAUAGACGAAAUACAGGGCUUUGGAGCAUUUUUUAUUAUCUUUUUAUACAGUCCAGUAAGAAAUGUCUGAUGGAAAAAGCUUACAGUAAAAGUUUUAAUGCAGAUCAAAUCAGACAGGUUGUGUUUGAAACGUUGUGUGUUGAAACAGGUGAAAAAACGGAGCCUCCUAAACUGUCGGCGUUCCCAGUGUCUCGAUCCGGAGAUGGGAGGAGUGUGCUGCUGUGUCAGGCCAGAGACAUGUAUCCAGACCUGGUGAAGUUCAUGUGGAAGGAUCAAGCUGGGAAUGAGGUGAAGCUGUCAGACACAGAGGAGCUGCUGGAGCAGAGAGAAGAGGGUCAGGAGGUCAGAGUGACCAGCAUGCUCAUCAUAGACCAACAGAAAGCACGAUCUAACACCUUCACCUGCUCCGUCCAACACGACAGAAGUGCUAAUAAUGACCUGAAGAGUGUGGUGAUCCCUGCAGGAAACUCAGAGGACGAGACAAAACCUGAGAUUAACCCAAAUCCUGUCCCAAUCCCAACCUGUCCCCCUCCAAAAGAAGAAGAAGAAGAAGAAGAAAAAGAAGAAGAUGAAGAAAAAGAAGUAGAAAACUAUGGUAUAAGUAAGUAGAAUAAUAUAACUAUUUCUGUUUCUGAGGGUCAUUUCCCAAAAUGUUUGUAAGUUUCUUUCAAGGUUGUGAGGUAAUUUCUAAGUUUUUUUGUUGUCUGUUGUUCUGCAGAUUCAGCUGAGUUGAUCCGUAAGCUGUAUCUGUGCAGUGUGAUGUAUUUGAUGGCGCUUGUGAAGAACGUGGUGUAUUUCCUCGCUGUGUGUGUCCUGCUGUACAAGAGGAGAGCUGGAAAAGUGAACCAAAAAUGAGUUUCAUAAAACAACAAAUAUAUUGUGCAUCAUUUACACAAAGUGACAAAAUUUUCAUUAUAUUCUCUUGUCAGUCUUAGACAAAAAAUGUAAUAUGUUAAUCACGUUUUGUUCCUUUUAAAAAUCAGCUAUGCUAUUUUUUUGUUGUUUAAAUAAAGACGCUGUACUAAUGGUGUAUCA